UCCUACGGGGGGCAGCAGUAGGGAAUCUUCCACAAUGGACGAAAGUCUGAUGGAGCAACGCCGCGUGAGUGAAGAAGGGUUUCGGCUCGUAAAGCUCUGUUGGUAGUGAAGAAAGAUAGAGGGAGUAACUGGCCUUUAUUUGACGGUAAUUACUUAGAAAGUCACGGCUAACUACGUGCCAGCAGCCGCGGUAAUACGUAGGUGGCAAGCGUUGUCCGGAUUUAUUUGGCGUAAAGCGAGUGCAGGCGGGUU
rnacentral:rRNA from 1 species